UUGCAGUUACCAUCAUUAAUUGGGGACUCUAGCGAGACUGCCAGUGAUAAACUGGAGGAAGUGGGGAUGACGUCAAAUCAUCAUGCCCCUUAUGACCUGGGCUACAAACGUGAUACAAUGGCUGGAACAAAGGGAUGCGAAGCAGUGAUGUGGAGCGAAACCCAUAAAAACAGUCUCAGUUCGGAUUGAAGUCUGCAACUCGACUUCAUGAAGUCGGAAUCGCUAGUAAUCGCGGAUCAGAACGCCGCGGUGAAUACGUUCUCGGGGUUU
rnacentral:rRNA from 1 species